AUGAUAAGGGUCUUUCAACCGCUCACCCUUUGUUUUUCUCCCUAAAGGUGUUAGGAUGUUCACAAUUGCUAGUUAAUGAGAAAUGCUUGUUAGAGCCUAAGCACUGACUCAUUCGGGUUGUCCCUCUCCAAUAGGCAUGGACAGAGUCCAGUGUUCUAGUGACAGAGAAUUAGCUCACCAGCUUCAGCAAGAAGAAGAGAGAAAGAGGAAAUCUGAAGAAUCAAGACAAGAAAGGGAAGAGUUUCAGAAAUUGCAGCGGCAGUACGGCUUAGAUAAUUCUGGAGGAUACAAACAACAGCAGCUGCGACACAUGGAGCUAGAAGUAACGAGGGGACGAAUGCAUCCAUCUGAGUUCCACAGCAGAAAAGCUGACAUGUUGGAAUCAAUCGCUGUUGGUAUUGAUGAUGGAAAAACAAAAACUUCUGGAAUUAUUGAAGCCCUCCACAGGUAUUAUCAGAACAUUGCCACAGAUGUAAGGUGUGUGUGGCUGUCUACAGUGGUGGAUCACUUUCAUUCAUCUUUUGGGGACAAAGGUUGGGGUUGCGGUUAUAGAAAUUUCCAGAUGCUGCUUUCAUCAUUACUGCAGAAUGAAGUGUACAGUGACUGCUUGAAAGGUAUGUCAGUUCCUUGUAUUCCAAAAAUUCAGUCCAUGAUUGAAGAUGCGUGGAAUGAAGGUUUUGAUCCUCAGGGGGCCUCUCAACUUAAUA
rnacentral:lncRNA from 1 species